rnacentral:rRNA from 1 species
UGCCGCGUGAGUGAUGAAGGCCCUAGGGUUGUAAAGCUCUUUCGCGGGGAAGAUAAUGACGGUAACCGUACAACAAGCCCCGGCUAACUUCGUGCCAGCAGCCGCGGUAAUACGAAGGGGGCUAGCGUUGUUCGGAAUUACUGGGCGUAAAGCGCACGUAGGCUGAUUGUUAAGUUAGGGGUGAAAUCCCAGGGCUCAACCCUGGAACUGCCUUUAAGACUGGCCAUCUCAAGUCCCAUAGAGGUGAGUGGAAUUCCGAGUGUAGAAGUGAAAUUCAUAUAUAUUCGGAGGAACACCAUUGGCGAAUGCGGCUCAGUGGCUCGGUACUGACGCUGAUGUGCUAAAGCGUGGGGAGCACACAGGAUUAAAUACCCUGGUAGUCCACGCCAUAAACUAUGAUAGCUAUCCGUCCGCUAGUUUACUUGUCGGUGGCGCAGCUAACGCAUUAUCCUCUCCGCCUGGGGAGUACGGUCGCAAGAUUAACACUCAAAGGAAUUGACGGGGGCCCGCACCAGCGGUGGAGCAUGUGAUUUAAUUCGAAGCAGCACGCAGAACCUUACCUCCCCUUGACAUCCCGGUCGCGGUUUCCACAUAUGGAUUCCUUCA